rnacentral:rRNA from 1 species
GAUCAUGGCUCAGGAUGAACGCUAGCUACAGGCUUAACACGUGCAAGUCGAGGGGCAGCAUGACGAUAGCUUGCUAUUGUUGAUGGCGACCGGCGCACGGGUGAGUAACGCGUAUCCAACCUUCCCGUUGCUAGGGGAUAACCUUGCGAAAGUAAGACUAAUACCCUAUGAUGUUCUUCGCAGGCAUCUAAAGAGAACGAAAGAUUUAUCGGCAACGGAUGGGGAUGCGU